rnacentral:rRNA from 1 species
AUUGAACGCUGGCGGCAGGCCUAACACAUGCAAGUCGAACGAGUGGCGGACGGGUGAGUAAUGUCUGGGACACUGCCUGAUGGAGGGGGAUAACUACUGGAAACGGUAGCUAAUCCCGCAUACCAUCGGAUGUGCACAGAUGGGAUUAGCUAGUAGGUGGGGUAAAGGCUCACCUAGGCGACGACCCCUCGCUGGUCUGAGAGGAUGACCAGCCACGCUGGAAUUGUGAGACGGUCCAGACUCCUAGGGGAGGCAGCAGUGGGGAAUAUUGAGCAAUGGGCGCAAGUCUGAUGCAGCCAUGCCGCGUGUAUGAUGAAGGCCUUCGGGUUGUAAAGUACUUUCAGCGGUGAGGCGUUACCCGCAGAAGAAGCACCGGCUAACUACGUGCCAGCAGCCGCGGUAAUUC